GACGAACCACACAAACGUUAUUCGGAAUUACUGGGCUUAAAGGGUGCGUAGGCGGCGCAGCAAGUAGGGUGUGAAAUCCCUCGGCUCAACCGAGGAACUGCGCCCUAAACUACUGUGCUCGAGGGAGGUAGAGGUGAGCGGAACUUAGGGUGGAGCGGUGAAAUGCGUUGAUAUCCUAAGGAACACCGGUGGCGAAAGCGGCUAACUGGACCUCUUCUGACGCUGAGGCACGAAAGCUAGGGUAGCGAACGGG
rnacentral:rRNA from 1 species